rnacentral:lncRNA from 1 species
GGCCAAGAGCAUUCCAAGAAGUGGGGAACAUACGAAUAAAGGCAUAGAGAGAGAAAAGAGCCUGGUUAUGUUUAAAGAAUGUGAGUAACUAAAUACAUUGGUGAGCAGGGCAUCAGCAUGAGACCAGCAAAGAGAAUGCUGAAGAUUUAAGUUAACAAAGAUCGGCCAAACAACAUGUCUUCUUGGAACCUAUUAUUCAGCUCAUAUCUGACAAACAUGAUAAGAUCAGCUGAAUUGCUAAUGUCAGUGAAUUCAUCUUCCAGUCUCCAGUGAAUAUUAUGGACUUCAUUGUACUCGAGAUAAUAAACACUGCUCUACAUUUAGGUUGUAUCUGU